rnacentral:rRNA from 1 species
AGUGAACGCUGGCGGUAGGCUUAACACAUGCCAGUCGAACGGCAGCACAGUAAGAGCUUGCUCUUACGGGUGUCGAGUGGCGGACGGGUGAGGAAUACAUCGGAAUCUACUUUUUCGUGGGGGAUGACGUAGGGAAACUUACGCUAAUACCGCAUACGACCUACGGUUGAAAGCAGGCAACCUUUGGACCUUGCGCGAUUGAAUGAGCCGAUGUCGGUUUAGCUAGUUGGCGGGGUAAAGGCCCACCAAGGCGACGAUCCGUAGCCGGUCUGAGAGGGAGAAUCGACAGACUGGAAGUGAGACACAGUCCCGACUCCUGCGGGAGGCAGCAGUGGGGAAUAUUGGGCGAGGGGCGCGAGCCUGAUCCAGCCAUACCGCGUGGGUGAAGAAGGCCUUCGGGUUGUAAAGCGCUUUUGUUGGGAAAGAAAAGCAGCAGGUUAAUAACGCGCUGUUCUGACGGUACCCAAAGAAUAAGCACCGGCUAACUUCGUG